UGGGUUACUCUUAAAAAUUCCUGCUGCUAGC
rnacentral:piRNA from 1 species